CCUACGGAGGCAGCAGUGGGGAAUAUUUGGCAAUGGAGGCAACUCUGACCCAGCAACGCCGCGUGAAUGAUGAAGGUCUUCGGAUUGUAAAGUUCUGUGAUGGGGGAUGAACACAAUGACGGUACCCCAAUAGCAAGCCACGGCUAACUACGUGCCAGCAGCCGCGGUAAUACGUAGGUGGCAAGCAUUAUCCGGAAUGACUGGGCGUAAAGGGUGCGUAGGUGGUUUAGUAAGUUGGCGGUGUAAUUCCGGGGCUCAACCUCGGCGCUACCGCCAAAACUAUUAGACUAGAGUGUGCGAGAGGUAUGCGGAAUGCGUGGUGUAGCGGUGAAAUGCAUAGAUAUCACGCAGAACCCCGAUUACGAAGGCAGCAUACCGGUGCACAACUGACGCUCAGGCACGAAAGCGUGGGUAUCGAACAGGAUUAGAUACCCGAGUAGUC
rnacentral:rRNA from 1 species